UUGGAGGGCAAGUCUGGUGCCAGCAGCCGCGGUAAUUCCAGCUCCAAUAGCGUAUAUUAAAGUUGUUGCAGUUAAAAAGCUCGUAGUUGAAUUUCGGGGUCAGUAGGUUGGUCAUGCCACUGGUAUGUACUGGUCUCACUGAUUCCUCCUUCCUGAUGAGCCGUAAUGCCAUUAAUUUGGUGUUGCGAGGAAUCUGGACUGUUACUUUGAAAAAAUUAGAGUGUUUAAAGCAGGCUAACGCUUGAAUACAUUAGCAUGGAAUAAUGAAAUAGGACGUUCGAUCUUAUUUUGUUGGUUUCUAAGAUUGACGUAAUGAUUAAUAGGGAUAGUUGGGGGCAUUAGUAUUCAAUUGUCAGAGGUGAAAUUCUUGGAUUUAUUGAAGACUAACUACUGCGAAAGCAUUUGCCAAGGAUGUUUUCAUUAAUCAAGAACGAAAGUCAGGGGAUCGAAGACGAUCAGAUACCGUCGUAGUCUUAACCAUAAACUAUGCCGACUAGGGAUCGGAUGAUGUUAAUUUUUUAAUGACUCAUUCGGCGCCUUACGGGAAAC
rnacentral:rRNA from 1 species